UACGGAGGGGGCUAGCGUUGUUCGGAAUUACUGGGCGUAAAGCGCACGUAGGCGGCUUUGUAAGUUAGAGGUGAAAGCCCGGGGCUCAACUCCGGAAUUGCCUUUAAGACUGCAUCGCUAGAAUUGUGGAGAGGUAAGUGGAAUUCCGGAGUGUAGAGGUGAAAUUCGUAGAUAUUCGGAAGAACACCAGUGGCGAAGGCGACUUACUGGACACAUAUUGACGCUGAGGUGCGAAAGCGUGGGGAGCAAACAGG
rnacentral:rRNA from 1 species